rnacentral:rRNA from 1 species
AACAUAACCCUCUGCCAAAGCGCAGGCUAAAGUAUGGGGGGGGUGGCCUGCCCUAUGGCUGUAUCCGAANGGGGGGGGGGGCUAGGGCCAACCCCAUAAGGGCAGUUAAAUGGCCGCGGUAACUCUGACCGUGUUAAUGUAGCGAAAUCAAUAGUCAAUUAAUUGUUGGCCGGUAUGAAGGGCAUCACGAAAGCCCCACUGUCUUAAAAGGACUCUCCAUGAAAUUGAAUUCGUAGUGAAGAUGCUACGUCCAUACUGUAAGACGAAAAGACCCCGUAGAGCUUUACUUAAAAUUUGUGGGGCUAAACUUGAAAUAGGAGUUUAGACUAGGUGGGGGCGUUCUGUAAGAUGAAACACCACCCCCUUGUUGAAAAAAAGCUAACCCGACAGGAGAGGGGCAAGUUGGAAAGUUUGGUUGGGGCGACCGCCUUUAAAAAAGUAACGGAGGUGAGCUUAUGGCCCGUGGUUAAUAGCUUGUGGCCUGACUGCGAGGGGCCCCCCCAAGCAGGCACCCCCGGUGGGCUAUAGGGACCCGUCUUCUUGGGGUGAAAAAGGAGGCGCCCGACGGAUAAAAGCUACCUUGGGGAUAACAGCGUUAUCCCGGCAGAGAUCUCUUCGACGCCGGGGUUUGCGACCUCGAUGUUGAAUUGCGGGACCCUGGGGUGCAGCCGCCCCCAAGGGCUGGCCUGUUCGUCCACU